GGCCUUGGGGUAGCUUAUUUUAAUGGAACUAUGGCCACUAAUCAAAUUUGUUUAGAUAUUGGUGACUUGGAUUAUGUUCUUUGUUUAUUGGAGAAAUGUUGCUUCCCAGAAACAAAAUGGUAUAAGUUUGGACUGAGACUAGGAUUG